GAACGCUGGCGGCGUGCUUAACACAUGCAAGUCGUGCGAGAAAGGUCCUUCGGGGACUGAGUAGAGCGGCGCACGGGUGAGUAACGCGUGGGUGACCUACCCAGGAGACCGGGAUAACAGUGGGAAACUGCUGCUAAUACCGGGUACGCUUCAUAUUUCACGUAUGGGGGAAAGGCGGCCUCUGCUUGCAAGCUGCCACUCUUGGAUGGGCCCGCGUCUCAUUAGCUGUUGGUAGGGUAACGGCCUACCAAGGCGACGAUGAGUAGCUGGUCUGAGAGGAUGAUCAGCCACACUGGGACUGGAACACGGCCCAGACUCCUACGGGAGGCAGCAGUGGGGAAUAUUGCGCAAUGGGCGAAAGCCUGACGCAGCGACGCCGCGUGAGGGAAGAAAGGCCUUCGGGUCGUAAACCUCUGUCAGGAGGGAAGAAACCAUGGGAGUCGAAUAGGCUCUCGUGCUGACGGUACCUCCGGAGGAAGCACCGGCUAACUCCGUGCCAGCAGCAGC
rnacentral:rRNA from 1 species